rnacentral:rRNA from 1 species
CCUACGGGUGGCAGCAGUGAGGAAUAUUGGACAAUGGACGCAAGUCUGAACCAGCCAUGCCGCGUGAAGGAAGACGGCUCUCUGAGUUGUACACUGCUUUUGUACGAGGGUAAACGCAGAUACGCGUAUCUGUCUGAAAGUAUCGUAAGUAUAAGGAUAGGCUAACUCCGUGCCAGCAGCCGAGGUAAUACGGAGGAUUCAAGCGUUAGCCGGAUUUAUUGGGUGUAAAGGGUACGUAGGCGGUCGCUUAAGUUAGAGGUGAAAGCCCGAGGCUCAACUUCGGAAUUGCAUCUUAUACUGUGCGGCUAGAGAGUAGUAGCGAGAGGCAGAAUGUAUGGUGUAGCGGUGAAAUGCGUAGAGAU